CGGAAAUAUUGAACAUGUCUAAUAUUUACGGUUUGAGAUCAGUUCGGCCAGGAUGGACUUCUGAGCCGAUCGGGGGAUUUAAAAAACUGGAAAGAUAAUCUUUAGAACCAUCAAAAAAUUCGGGCUUUGCUUACGAUCGAUGGGAGGGGGGAAUCGGGACAGAAAUCAGCUUGAUUCUCAUGCGGCGUGUACCCGGCAUUAGCCAUGUUCCACACACAUACGUAACGUUAUCUGACCUGAAGUGUUUUAUCCAUCGACUCCUGGUCUUUCAGAGAGAGAGACGUUACUACGAGACUUUUGGGUGUGUCGUCUUUCUAAUUACGUAUUUUCACAGUCUGAUACGACUUUCUUGCAAUAUGAUGUUUUAAAUUGACAAACAUCAUGUGUGUGAUUCAUGGUGCAAUUCAAACAAAAUGAUCUGUCUCCCGCCAUUGACAACCGUUCAUAUUUUUUAUCCGAAAUAAGGUCCAAUGGUGGUCCACCAGAAAGAAGCGGGACUUGGCCUCUCUAUAUCCGUCAUGCUAGUUGACCAUGGCCAGACGUGUAGAUAGAGCUGACUGUUUUUUGUUUUUGUUUUGUACAUUUUAAUUUGAGGACUCUCUCUCCCCCUUUCUCUCUCCGUCUCUGUCAGUCUGUCACAUUUCGGUACUCCGUUUGGUGCAUGUAUGGGUGUUUUCUUUACACGGUGAGGGUCACAAGUCUGCCACGAAAUUGCAUUACCUGUCGCAAGUUUUAUUACAAGCAAUAAGUGUAGCAUCUAUUUUAAGGCCCGCCUGCCCCAGUCCUGAUACCACCAAUCAUUUAUCAAUGUCUCAACGUCUGUCUGUCUGUCUGUCCUUUUUCUUUUUUUUUUUUGGCCCCCGUUGGACAAUGUUACUGUGUGACACCACGCCACCUCUUGUCAACUUUUAUCGCAGAUAUUCUGUGAAACUGAACGCUGACAUGACAGAAUAUCAGAGCAACACUGUAAGACAUGAUUUCAUGGAGUAACGCCGUUUCUAAAUCACAAUACUCUCCUUUUUUAUUUACUAUAAAAUCCAAGGAUACUGUGUCUUUAGCCACAUUGGAGCUGAUUUUUUUUAUCCUUUAUCAUUAUUAUUAUUAUUAUUAUUAUUAAUUAUUUUACUGCAUUUAUAGAGUAAAACUUUUGAAAGGUGCACGGGACAACCCAAAUGUGUAAGAGAUGGUGUCCAUAUGAGGACAUGAAUGUGCCAUUCACUAUUUCUAGUGCUUACUGAUGACGUGUUUGUUUCAUCUCUUUUUCCUUUGCCUUUUUCUCCUGCCAAUGUCUAAUCCUUAAAAUGAGAAACUGUAUUUUCCCUGAGGUUUUACACGGAUAUAAGGGGAACUGUCACUUUAUUCUAAAAAAUACUUUUGUUUCAACAUUUCUUUCAGUUCAGAGUUUGUCUCACUAAAAGUACAAUCAACCUGAGAGGGGUAUGUUGGGAGCUGAGAGACUGAUGUCCAAAUACUGUGGCGAGAUCACACGAUACGAUGUCUAACAGCCACCCACAGUGGGGUUUGCGGGACAGGCUUGGCUCUCGAAAACAACCUUUUGUCUUUCCAAAGGAAUCCAAGGUGAUAGGACGUCAAGUUGUAAAAUGAUGCUUUGUGUUUUAGCAUCUACAACGUGAAUAUUACAAUGUUACAUGCAUCAGAUUGAGAACUCACAAGGCAAUACGGUGUGCAUGCAAUCACCACGGUUCACCCUUAAUGUCACAUCUGUGACUCCCUUCCAACAGCAACAGGAUUUCUGACUUAAAGGGGCACUCCACUGAUUUAAUAUUGUCCUUCCAUAAAGUUGGAGACUUGCAAUAACAUGAAUCCGGGGAAGUACCGGAGGUAACCAAGUCGCCAUUACUGCGCUGGCGGCUCCCCGCAAUAUGCGUGCGUUUGAAUGCAAGCUGUCCUAAGCAGUGUACAAUUUUCUACUUUUACUUUUACUCUCUGUGUAACGUUACUUUUGACAACGAUGUAUAGGAGUUCAGGAAGAACCUGAGCAGUUCUCAGCUGCCUAACGUUAGCCUGACAUGGUGAAACAAGCAAUGUUAGCUAGGUUAAAACUGCUUAGCUAGCGUAGCUAACGUUAGCCUGACAUGGUGAAACAAGUAACGUUAGCUAAGUUAAAACUGCUUAGCUAGCGUAGCUAACGUUAGCCUGACAUGCUGAAACAAGUAACGUCAGCUAAGUUAACACUGCUUAGCUAGCGUUAGCUAACAUUAAAGGGCUAAAGGCACUGUCUAGGGUAAUUUACAUAAGUUACUAUGAGCAACCACGGACGCUUUCGGCCUAAAGUCAGCAGUUAACACGGUUAGCAGACAAUAGUGUCACUACGACUUGCCACCGCAGUAAUGGCGGCGCUCCUGGAUGGCGGAACAUACAAUACAGUCGCCGGAUUGGUCCAUAGGCCUUUUCUGAAAAAAUAAUUGUGUAUAUUCGAAUCAACAAAGGCUGAAAUAUCCUGACUGUUAAUCCUACAAUUAUCCAUAAUUCAACUCCAUAGCAUGUUUUCAAUAAACGCUCCCUGCCUGAUAAAUCCCAGUUUAAUACUACAUUUCUGUGAUUGUCACGUGUAAAAUCGAUGGAGUGCCCCUUUAAAUAAGGAUCAGGAGAAGCAGCUAAGGAGUUACCGUCAUGUCUUUCUUGUCACCCGGGAUCCCGGCGAAAGGUUUGUUAAUCAGUGGCUGUUGGAUCUCAUACAACAUGUUCAAGGGCUUGGAUGUUUGAAGAUGAGAAGUCACAGAUUUGAGAAAAUGAUUUUCACCCCAAUUUCUUCUCUCAAUUGCUUUGGAUUGGGUCAGAUUUGUUUAAAAAAAAAAAUACUGUGAUGAGAAAAAUGAAUGGGUUAAUCACGGUCAGGUCUGUUUCAUGCUCUCUAUCUACUGUUCUCAUCCACUUUUUUUAAAUGGAAACACCCAACCAAGAGAGGCUCCCUGUUACCGAGCGUUUACACAGCAUCGAUUGCACUUUAAGACAGAAACCCGCAGAGCAAUCCAACAUACUCUGACAGCAGAGCCUCUGUCGCCAACAGCGUGACUUUCUCACCAAAGGAUUCAACUCGGCAGUCUCCUGCUAAACAUAAUCACUCUCAACAAAGUCGCCUUUCUUAUUUUUGUAUCAUUUUGUCGAGAGAUCGAACAAAAGGAAAGAUGUCUGUCUCUAUAUUCGGUCCUUUGGACGUGAUGGCAGGUGAAACGUUUGGAUCCAGAAAACGUGUAUCUCUUUGUGAAGCUAUGUGGUUUGUGCCUUGUUCCGAAGUUGCAUUUAAUAUAAAGAUGACUAGUAAUAAUAUCUAGGGACUGUCAUUAUGAUCACAUGCAGUUGUUAUUUAGUUUGGAUUUGUUUUUUUUUCCAUCAUAUUUAUUUGAAGGGAGAAUUUAACCUUGGUACUGUUCCCCACCAAGAAAACAUCUUUGCACCAAGAUCUUCUUUGUUUUUUUUUUGUUUUUUUUACAUAAAUGUGAUUUAUUUCCAUACAGUGUGAGGUUUUCUAACAGCUCAGAAGUACAAUCAAGCCUUUUGAGACACGAGGCCUGUAAGGGUUCCGAGGUGAUCUUCGCUCUGAGAUGAUUUUUUCUAAAUCUAAAGCCCAGAUGAGUCUGACUGCAGUGUUCUGUGAUGCCAUUUUAAAUGUCACAGAGCCUGCGUGUGUUCAGCAGCUUUACACACGCUUGGAAAUCCGUUUUUUGUCCUCUGCAGUGAGCUCUGCUCUGUGUCGAUGUCAGGUUGCUGAUGGAAACAUUUAUCUUUGUCCGUAAACCCAGUUUUGUGCCGAGGGGAACUGAAAGAAAUUGCGUGGAAUGAAUUUGGCUGAAGCAAGUUUCAUGGAUGGGUUUCCAGACUUAUUCUUUUAUCAUCUGCAUUGUACCAUAGCCUACUGUUCUCAUGUUAAUUAGUCUUUUCUUACAUGCUAACAUAUUGUUUUUGUUUGAGCAAAUUAAAUAAAAAUUGCAAUACAAGA